rnacentral:rRNA from 1 species
CCUACGGGUGGCUGCAGUAACGAAUCUUCCGCAAUGCACGAAAGUGUGACGGAGCGACGCCGCGUGUGGGACGAAGUCCUUCGGGAUGUAAACCACUGUCAGGGGUUACCAAGUUCUGAGGAGCCCCAGAGGAAGGCACGGCUAACUCUGUGCCAGCAGCCGCGGUAAGACAGAGGUGCCGAGCGUUAGGCGGAAUCACUGGGCUUAAAGCGCGUGUAGGCGGGUCCGUAAGUGCCUUGUGAAAUCCCACGGCUCAACCGUGGAACUGCUGGGCA